UACGUAGGGGGCAAGCGUUGUCCGGAAUUACUGGGCGUAAAGCGUGCGUAGACGGUUACAUAAGUCGGGUGUGAAAGCCCCGGGCUCAACCUGGGAAUUGCAUUCGAGACUGCGUAGCUAGGGUGCGGAAGAGGGAAGCGGAAUUUCCGGUGUAGCGGUGAAAUGCGUAGAUAUCAGGAGGAAUACCGAUGGCGAAGGCAGGUCUCUGGGCUGACACUGACGCUCAUGCACGAAAGCGUGGGGAGCAAACAGG
rnacentral:rRNA from 1 species